UACGUAGGUGGCAAGCGUUGUUCGGAAUUACUGGGCGUAAAGGGCUCGUAGGCGGCCAACUAAGUCAGACGUGAAAUCCCCAGGCUCAACCUGGGAACUGCGUCUGAUACUGGAUGGCUUGAAUUCGGGAGAGGGAUGCAGAAUUCCAGGUGUAGCGGUGAAAUGCGUAGAUAUCGAGAGGAACACCUGCGGCGAAGGCGGGUUGCUGGGCUGACACUGACGCUGAUGCGCGAAAGCUAGGGGAGCGAACGGG
rnacentral:rRNA from 1 species